UUGCAGGGGGUGGGGGCGGGGUGUCACUUGUCUCUGCGUUCUUAGACAAGGGAUGGCAGGAAGCUGUUAUGCCUGCCCAGAUGUAUAGCUGUUCUGAGGGUCCUGACUCAGGCUCCCAUAGUUGUGUGGUCAGUUCUUUACAUACUGAGCCAUCUCCCAAGGCCAUUCUCUAUUUUUUCAAACAUUUGAUUUAUUCUCUCCAUUUCUUUGGUGGUGAUUUAAGAGAUUCUCUGUGGUAUCUGGUGUCUUAGUGUGACAGACACAGAUUACAAGUUUUUUUUUUUUUUAAUUUGUCAUGUAAAAGUAUAUCAUUAAAAAAGAAAGUCUGUUUUUAAUUAACAAAGUAUAUUUACUGUUUUUCACUGCCCCAAACAUUUGGGGAUUCUAAAGAUUGGCUUAAGAAAUGACAGCGUCUGUGGAGCAGGCACUAUCAACUUCCUACAAAGUGGACUUUCCAUUACUGGCCAAUAUAGCUGUGGGGUGUGCUUCAGUGACUCCCAACCUAGAUAUCUAGCAUGCUUAAAGUGGUACCUGGAGGUCAGGAAAUACUUCAAGUAUUUUCAAAACGCAAUCUCAUUUUUUUAUUUUUUAUUUUCUUGGAGUUUUUGAGACAGAGUUUCUCUGUGUAGCCCUGGCUAUCCUGGAACUCACUCUGUAGAACACAUGUGGCCUUGAACUCCGAUAUCUACCUGCUUCUGCCUCCCAAGUGCACAAUCUCGUUUUCAAAUGCGGCUAUGCUACAUGUUUCUGCUAAAUAUUUUCUAAUUUAAUGCACAGAUACACUAAGUCACUCUAGGUCUUCACCAUCACAGGUAGCUGUGUUGUCACACCUGAAUGCGUCCUAAUUUAUUACUGCUGCCCCAACUCUAGACUAAUCUGGGGUGGGGGUGGGACUCUAGUUUUAACCUCAAGGAAGUAAAACAAGCAAGCAAGCAAGCAAACAAACAAAAGCCCCUGUUCUCCUUGCCAUGUAAUACGGUAGCAGGAGAGACUUUAUAUGGGAACUUGGGGAGUUAUCACUUCUUAGCAGCUAAUGUGGAUAAGGCAGCUGAAAUAGUCACUAGGACCAAACACUAAUAAUCUCAGCUGCUUAUGAGGUACCCACAAGGUGUUUACAGGAAACCCUAGUACCAGGAAAUCUGUUUGUUUUUUUCUUUUUACUUUUCAUCCAAUUUUAUUAUCUUAGGUGCAGUUUAAAUUGCAUUUCUUGUUGGCCUCUCAGGGUCUUAUUUUCUGUACAGACACAGUACCUCAAGGACAUAAGUUGAAGCAAUAGGCCUUGGCUUUCCAGCCAUGAGAAGCCCUAUCUCUACAUUCUCUCUGGCUUUGUUCCUUGAUGGCAGCCUCCCUGAAGGACUAAAUUAAAAGGAAUGGCAAGCCAGGCCUAAUAACUUAUCCUGGAUGAUACUGCCUCCUCUGUCUCUAAAGACUUGUCCUUUCUGCACAAUAAACACAGGUGAGAAGCAAGAGCUGGCCUUCUAGAAUGUUCUGUAUCCACAGUGUGAAUCGGUAAAGCUGAAAGGAAUCCUUUGCUGCCGUGUGGGAGUGAGGGAGAUCGUGAGUAUGUGGUCUCUGCUCUCACAUUUCUCGAAGACAGCAGUUUGUAGACUUAAGCAUCUAUCUCCCCACCUGAUUGUUUCUUGACAGGGCUUAGUUGUAUGUUUAACUGCUGCCACAGUAAAACUUUGAACAUAUGCCUCUUUUUAUUUAAUUUAAUUGCAAGGGCAACCAGAAAAGGAAAGGCUUAAAAAAAUCAUUACAUUUUUUUUUUAAGUCUUAAUACCACAGGCUAGAACUCUGGAAACACUCCCGUCAUCACUUCUGUAUGGGUUGGGUGUAGCUCAGGGGUGGGGCAUCCACAUGCUCCACAGGCACAAACUCCUAGGUAGAAUGCCUAGAAACAACAGUCCCUGAACUACAUAUAUUCAAACUACAGGUCUGGAAGCACUUAAACAAACAAACAAACAAACAAAGUCUGUACAGUGGUAUAGGUGAACAUGUUGGGGUAUUUAUUAAAGUAAUUUUAAAAAAGAAAGCCGAAGUCAUGAUUUCUCAUUUUUGAGCUAUUUAUGACAACCCAGGGCUGUAGAGCCUGAGGUCCAGAUUUUGAAGAGAUGCGUGAAAAUUAAAAAAAAAAGGAAUACUAAUACCAAAAAGGACAGAGGUGUGUGUUUGUGUGUGUAUGUGUAGUUGGUGGGGGAUUGGUUCCCACAUUUGACUUGUGUUGGGAGGCAGGCACAGGGAUGUGCAGGUUGGGCAACCGUAUCUAACUGUAUGCUUGCUGGAGUCUCUCUUGGUCUGAAGGAAUCUUUGAGAUCCUAUCAAGAGCAAAGUACUUAUUGCCAAGUUGAAUGUUCCCACAAUAAGGCUGUGCAAAUGUGUUUGCCAGCUAGUUUAAAACAUGAGGAACACUGGGUCAAGAUAGGUGGCUGGGGACAGGUUACAUAGAGUUUGGGAGAAGCUGGGACUUACCAGCUGCCUGAUGAUUUUCUCAUGAAUCAAAUUCUGCUAUAACAAACACCAAAAUAAAUAAAUAAAUAGAUAGAUAGAUAGAUAGAUAGAUAGAUACAUAGAUACAUAGAUAGAUAUG
rnacentral:lncRNA from 1 species